rnacentral:rRNA from 1 species
GCGCACCAGGCGAGAAUUUUUCUCAAUGGGCGAAAGCCUGAAGGAGCGACGCCGCGUGGAGGAUGAAGGCUUUCGGGUUGUAAACUCCUGUCAUUUGAGAACAAGUGCCAACAAGUAACUACUGUUGGCUUGAUAGUAUCAGAAGAGGAAGGGACGGCUAACUCUGUGCCAGCAGCCGCGGUAAUACAGAGGUCCCAAGCGUUGUUCGGAUUCAUUGGGCGUAAAGGGUGCGUAGGUGGCGCCGUAAGUGGGGUGUGAAAUUUCGGAGCUUAACUCCGAAACUGCAUUCCAUACUGCGGUGCUUGAGGACUGGAGAGGAGACUGGAAUCCAUGGUGUAGCAGUGAAAUGCGUAGAGAUCAUGAGGAAGACCAGUGGCGAAGGCGGGUCUCUGGACAGUUCCUGACACUGAGGCACGAAGGCUAGGGGAGCGAACGGGAUUAGAUACCCGGGUAGU